UACAGAGGGGGCAAGCGUUGUCCGGAAUCAUUGGGCGUAAAGCGCGCGUAGGUGGCCCCGUAAGUCCGCUGUGAAAGUCAAAGACUCAACCUUUGAAAGCCGGUGGAUACUGUGGGACUAGAGUACGGAAGAGGCGAGUGGAAUUCCUGGUGUAGCGGUGGAAUGCGCAGAUAUCAGGAGGAACACCAAUAGCGAAGGCAGCUCGCUGGGACGUUACUGACACUGAGGCGCGAAAGCGUGGGGAGCGAACAGG
rnacentral:rRNA from 1 species